GACGAACGCUGGCGGCGUGCUUAACACAUGCAAGUCGAACGGAAAGGCCCUGCUUUUGUGGGGUGCUCGAGUGGCGAACGGGUGAGUAACACGUGAGUAACCUGCCCUUGACUUUGGGAUAACUUCAGGAAACUGGGGCUAAUACCGGAUAGGAGCUCCUGCUGCAUGGUGGGGGUUGGAAAGUUUCGGCGGUUGGGGAUGGACUCGCGGCUUAUCAGCUUGUUGGUGGGGUAGUGGCUUACCAAGGCUUUGACGGGUAGCCGGCCUGAGAGGGUGACCGGCCACAUUGGGACUGAGGUACGGCCCAGACUGCUACGGGAGGCAGCAGUGGGGAAUAUUGCACAAUGGGCGGAAGCCUGAUGCAGCAACGCCGCGUGCGGGAUGACGGCCUUCGGGUUGUAAACCGCUUUCGCCUGUGACGAAGCGUGAGUGACGGUAACGGGUAAAGAAGCACCGGCUAACUACGUG
rnacentral:rRNA from 1 species